ACUCUUACCUGGCAGGGGCAACAUCACAUUCAAGAAGGUGGUUUCCUCAGGCUGAGGCUCUUCCAUUGCACGUCUGUUGGGCUGACACCUGUGAUUUCCACAAAUGCAGGAAACUCGACUGCAUAAUUUAUGGUAGUGGGGAACUGCAUUCACACUGUCCCCUA